GGGAAGGUGGCUCAGUGGUAGAGCACUUGCCUUUCAUGCAUGAGGCCCUGGGUUCGAUUCCUCAGCACUACCU
rfam:Dipodomys ordii contig_12756, whole genome shotgun sequence.